AGGGGGGGAAGUUGAAGAGAAAGCAAGAAUCCUAAAUAGUAUAAUUGCUUCCCUCUUCAAGAUCAAGAAGAACAAGAAGCCUUCCCUUCUCAAAAUCAUGCCCUAGCUCUCUGUUAUGUGUUAGACUUACCUGGUAACCGCUGCUGCAAAUAUUUUAGCAUUCCUUUGCACAGCCUUUUUGAAGCUAAAGGUAUCGCUGACAAUAUCGUACAUGCAACCAGGAAAAGAGGAGGAUUGGUAGGAACGACAGCAGAACGUUAGAGGUUUACAUCUGAGGAAAUUUUUUAUGUCAGGAUUGGGGGAGUCAAAGUAAAUUCUGGGAUUUUCUAAUGUUUCCACAUUUGUAUAAAGUUUUGAUUGUUACAUGGAUGGUGUUAAUGCAAGAAGAACACUAAUUUUCUGCCUU